GGUCUUACUCUGUUGCCCAGGCUGGAGUGUGGUGGCACAAUCAUGGCUUACUGCAGCCUUGACCUCCCUGGCUCAAGUGAUUCUCCCUUCUCAGCCUCCUGAGUAUCUGGGACUACAGGCAUGCACCACCAUACCCAGCUCGUUUUUGUAUUUUUUGUAGAGACAGGAUUUCACCAUGUUGCCCAGGCUGGACUUGAACUCCUGGACUCAAAGAAUCUUUCAGCCUCUGCCUCUCGAAGUGCUGGGGAUUAUGAUUAGAUUCUUGAAGAAUGAGUUCGUUUUCCAGGGUAAUAAGAAGAAGCACUACAGACUAGGAGACAGCAGUCAAGAAAAGGCAGAAAAAUGUGAAGUAACCAGGAGGCCAGGAUAUAUGCACAUACAACUUUUAAAGGCACCUUCUGUCCAUCGCUCUGUCAAGGAGUCACGGAGAAGAGGAGACAGCGUGUGCAAGGGAAUGAAGAAAAGGACCAAGACUAUUUUCAAAUCACCCAUGGCACUACUAGAAAAGUAUUUCAGCAAAAAGACUGGCUGA
rnacentral:lncRNA from 1 species